UACGGGGGGGGUAAGCGUUGUUCGGAAUUACUGGGCGUAAAGGGCUCGUAGGCGGCCAACUAAGUCAGACGUGAAAUCCCUCAGCUUAACUGGGGAACUGCGUCUGAUACUGGAUGGCUUGGAUUCGGGAGAGGAAUGCGGAAUUCCAGGUGUAGCGGUGAAAUGCGUAGAGAUGUGGAGGAACACCGAUGGCGAAGGCAGCCCCCUGGGCUAACACUGACGCUCAUGCACGAAAGCGUGGGGAGCAAACAGG
rnacentral:rRNA from 1 species